GACGAACGCCGGCGGCGUGCUUAACACAUGCAAGUCGAACGGAAAGGCCCUGCUUUUGUGGGGUGCUCGAGUGGCGAAAGGGUGAGUAACACGUGAGUAACCUGCCCUUGACUUUGGGAUAACUUCAGGAAACUGGGGCUAAUACCGGAUAGGAGCUCCUGCUGCAUGGUGGGGGUUGGAAAGUUUCGGCGGUUGGGGAUGGACUCGCGGCUUAUCAGCUUGUUGGUGGGGUAGUGGCUUACCAAGGCUUUGACGGGUAGCCGGCCUGAGAGGGUGACCGGCCACAUUGGGACUGAGAUACGGCCCAGACUCCUACGGGAGGCAGCAGCGGGGAAUAUUGCACAAUGGGCGGAAGCCUGAUGCAGCAACGCCGCGUGCGGGAUGACGGCCUUCGGGUUGUAAACCGCUUUCGCCUGUGACGAAGCGUGAGUGACGGUAAUGGGUAAAGAAGCACCGGCUAACUACGUG
rnacentral:rRNA from 1 species